AGUUUUUUCAACAAAAGAAUGUGACCCACCAAUUAAUAAUACAUAAUAAUAACGAAGCCAGUUUUUGCUGUAUGUACAUACGAGCAACCAACUAGGGUUGCUGGUUUUGAGGGCUGUUGGGAGAAGGGGGGAAACUUGGUAUCCAUGUUCUUGGAUCUCUUAGAUCAAAUCCAGGUGGUGGUGGUGGUGGCGGAGGAAUGAGAAAAGGGUUUCGUGGUAUCCAGGUUCUUGGAUCACUUGGAUUGAAUGGUGGUUGUGGUGAUGGUGGAUUGGGUGAAGGGAUGUUCGGUAUCCAAGUUCUUGGGUCUCCUAAAUUGAACACCGGAGGGAAGUUUGGUGGUGGAUAUGGCAAAGAUGGUGGCUGUGGUGGGAAUUGAGUGGGUGGAAAUGAAGGAAAAGGCGGCAGUUGUGGGAACGGCGGCAAUUGAGGCAGCGGUGGCAGUUGUGGGAACGGCGGCAAUUGAGGCAGCGGCGGCAGUUGCGGGAAGGGAGGGAAUUGAGGUAAAGGCCAAGGAAAAUAAGGGAGGAAAAACUUUGAGGAGUUGAAAGAAUCCGAUGACAUGAUGAGCUUUUGUUGGUAAUUGAGGGCACAAAGGGUGGAGUUGAUCUGAAAAGGUCUAUAACUGAGAGCACUCACACUAUAAACACAAACAUUAGUUGACUUUGAUUUGACGGUGAUCUCUUUGGUGGUUGUGGACACCCCAGGGACAUUGCAGCCUGGAACGGAGCUCUUUAUUAAUGUGGCUUCACAGAGUGACUGAAUGGCCGGACCUUCCACACAAUCAACCCCCUCCACCGAUGGUAUAUCCAAUCUGUAUACACCGUAUCUGUUGGUUGUUCUGUUCACUGAAAAACUAAUCUGCUCUUUUGUACUUGGCGCAUUCCCUUGAAAUUUACAUUGGACAUGAACAUCCGCCCCU
rnacentral:lncRNA from 1 species